rnacentral:lncRNA from 1 species
GCUCACCGCAACCUCUGCCUGGCACUUUUUAAAAAAUCAAAUAACUUAAGGAUGUUGGGGGAAUUUAUCCUGAGAAGAUAUUGAAGAUAAUUUAAAAAUAAAUAAAAGUUAUAAAGGACAUCUUUGAACAUCGAAUAUUCUAUAAUAAUCUAUGGGUAAAUUCGUAUAAUAUAUUUUACCCAUGUAUUAUUAUAAAUUUAUAAGUUCAAAUAUAUUAUAAAUUUAUAAAUUCAAAUAAUAUAUGGGUAUGUCUGAGUUAGCUGAAAACACUCCUUUUAAGAUUUUUUUUUUUUUUUUUUUUAUCAUGGAAGAGGGUCCCCAAACCAGAAAUAGGGAAACUGACAGGUAAAAUUAACCAUAAUAAACUAUAUAAUAUUGGUAUAAACAGAAUGUUCUGGUAAUGGUUACUACUUAACAUACCUGGGGUAGAGUUAAGAGAGUAGAAGGAGUUUCAGAGACAGGGAUAAUUUUGUUGGGACACGAAGGAUAAGUGAGAGUUUAUUGGGCAGAUGUGGCAAUAAAGGAAAUCUUACCAAAGGGAACGCCAUGGUAAAAGAGUUUUAUCAGUAAGAAAAAACUGAGAGCUCUAAAAAUCUCAGAUUGGUUCUGUGUGAUUGGAUCCUAAUGCACCUUUGGGACUGAGGCUGCAGAUAAACUUAGAAAGGCUGUCUGAAGGAGUUUUAAAUGUUGCUAAAGCAGUUAGACUAGAAUAUCAGUGAAAGAUGUUAGGAAGGGAGCCACAUGAUUACUAUUUGCAUUUAGAAGACAAUUCUGGCAGACUCAUGAAAGAAACUGGAGCUGGCUGAAUGGGAAAGGACAUUGACCAUGAUGCCGGCAACAGGGAGAUAAAUUAAGAAGCUAUUGCAAACCCUCAGGCAGCAAAUGAUGAGGACAAUGGAACUGGAAGAGUGAGAGAAGACUUGAAGAAUAUGUUAAUUGAUACAAUUAAGGACUUUGUGACCAACUCCGUGUGCAGAUUGAGCGAGAGGAAGACAUUAUUAUUAUUAUUUUUAAUUAUACUUUAAGUUUUAGGGUACAUGUGCACAACGUGCAGGUUUGUUACAUAUAUAUACACAUGUGCAUGUUGGUGUACUGCACCCAUUAACUCGUCAUUUAACAUUAGGUAUAUCUCCUAAUGCUAUCCCUCCCCCUCCCCCCACCCCACAACAGUCCCCGGUGUGUGAUGUUCCCCUUCCCGUGUCCAUGUGUUCUCAUUGUUCAAUUCCCUUAGCAGUUCCCAUGUUUUAGAUAACAUUUCUUCACACUAAAUUCUAAUUUCCAUUUGAAAAAUAUCUGCCAAAUCUACCAAAUGAAAAAGUAACCAGAAACAAUUUGGCAUAGCCUGGUGAUUCUGAGUACCCUCUUCCAGCCAGUGUACUUGUGUGACCUCCAGCAAGUUUCUACCUUAUCUUAGCACCUAACUUAUAGUGGUGAAUAAGGGUUGGCAUGUUUCCUGGCCCAGCUGCAGCAAUAAUCACAGGUAAGCACAGUAGUAACAGAAGACGGUGACAGUGGUAUCCUCUCCCAGAGUUCUCAAGAGCAAAUAAUUUGCAAUUACUGAAUGAAUUAAUACCAAUUCUGCUCCUAAAACUUGCUUUUGCAUUACUUGAGUCAUAAAGGUUCAGAAGCCAGAAGUAUAUAAAUCAAAUUCUUAAAAUGGCAAGUUGAGCAUUGAAGCAAGUUGGUGUGUCCUUGGCCCUUCAAAAAGGGGUAGCUACUACUCAGCUGCAGAAUUACACAAAAAUAUAGUCCUGUGUUGCCAGGUCUCUUUUCAGGUCUGGUCUUUCUCUGCCUCAUAUGUAUGUAUGUAGACACACAUAUAUGUAUGUACAUAUAUAUUAAAUAGCAUUAUUUUUACUUUUAGGUUUACAGAAAAAUUGAGAGCAUUCCCAUAUAUUCCCUUUCCCCUAGCCCACUAUUCCUACUGCACAGUAUCCCUGUUACUAACAUCUUGCAUUAAUGCGCUACUUUAAUUACAAUGGUUGAGCCAAUAGUGAUGCAUUAUUAUAAAGUCCAUAGUUUACAAUCAGGUUCACUCUUGGUGGUGUACUUUCUCUGGGUUUUGGCAAAUGUAUGGAUUCACCAUUGGAUAAUGACAUGUAUCCACCAUUGUAGUAUCACAAGAGUAUUUUCAAUGCCCUAAAAUCCUGUGUUCCACCUAUUCAUUCCCCCUCCCCAGCUCCUGGCAACCAUGGCUUUUUCACUGUCUCUGUAAUUUGCCUUUUCCACAAUGUCAUAUAGUUGAAACCAUAGAGUUUCAACUAUAUAUAACCUUUCUAAGCCUGUCUUCUUUAAUUUAGCAAUAUGCAUUUUAGGUUCCUCCAUGUCUUUUUCUCGUUUGAGAGCUCAUUUCUUUCUAUCACUGAAUGAU